AUUUCUUUAGUAUACUAGUACAAAUGCCUUCCAAGCAUAAGGCCCCUAUGGCGGGAAGAAAUA
rnacentral:tRNA from 1 species